rnacentral:rRNA from 1 species
ACCUUCCGCUUACUCGGGGAUAGCCUUUCGAAAGAAAGAUUAAUACCCGAUGGUAUCUUAAGCACGCAUGAGAUUAAGAUUAAAGAUUUAUCGGUAAGCGAUGGGGAUGCGUUCCAUUAGGCAGUUGGCGGGGUAACGGCCCACCAAACCUACGAUGGAUAGGGGUUCUGAGAGGAAGGUCCCCCACAUUGGAACUGAGACACGGUCCAAACUCCUACGGGAGGCAGCAGUGAGGAAUAUUGGUCAAUGGGCGAGAGCCUGAACCAGCCAAGUAGCGUGAAGGAUGACGGCCCUACGGGUUGUAAACUUCUUUUGUGCGGGAAUAAAGGAACCUACGUGUAGGUUUUUGCAUGUACCGUAACGAAUAAGCAUCGGCUAACUCCGUGCCAGCAGCCGCGGUAAUACGGAGGAUGCGAGCGUUAUCCGGAUUUAUUGGGUUUAAAGGGAGCGUAGACGGGUUUUUAAGUCAGCUGUGAAAGUUUGGGGCUCAACCUUAAAAUUGCAGUUGAAACUGGAGACCUUGAGUACGGUUGAGGCAGGCGGAAUUCGUGGUGUAGCGGUGAAAUGCUUAGAUAUCACGAAGAACCCCGAUUGCGAAGGCAGCCUGCUAAGCCGCCACUGACGUUGAGGCUCGAAAGUGCGGGUAUCAAACAGGAUUAGAUACCCUGGUAGUCCGCACGGUAAACGAUGGAUACUCGCUGUUGGCGAUAGACAGUCAGCGGCCAAGCGAAAGCGUUAAGUAUCCCACCUGGGGAGUACGCCGGCAACGGUGAAACUCAAAGGAAUUGACGGGGG